rnacentral:rRNA from 1 species
GGUAGUAGGGGGACAACGUCUNCGAAAGGGACGCUAAUACCGCAUACGUUCUACGGGAGAAAGCAGGGGACCUCGGGCYUGCGCUANCUNUGAGCCUAGGUCGGAUUAGCUAGUUGGUGAGGUAAAGGCUCACCAAGGCGACGACCCGUAACUGGUCUGAGAGGAUGAUCAGUCACACUGGAACUGAGACACGGUCCAGACUCCCUACGGGAGGCAGCAGUGGGGAAUAUUGGACAAUGGGCGAAAGCCUGAUCCAGCCAUGCCGCGUGUGUGAAGAAGGUCUUCGGAUUGUAAAGCACUUUAAGUUGGGAGGAAGGGUUGUACGCUAAUACCGUGCAAUUUUGACGUUACCGACAGAAUAAGCACCGGCUAACUCUGUGCCAGCAGCCGCGGUAAUACAGAGGGUGCAAGCGUUAAUNCGGAAUUACUGGGCGUAAAGCGCGCGUAGGUGGUUCGUUAAGUUGGAUGUGAAAUCCCCGGGCUCAACCUGGGAACUGCUUCCAAAACUGGCGAGCUAGAGUAUGGUAGAGGGUGGUGGAAUUUCCUGUGUAGCGGUGAAAUGCGUAGAUAUAGGAAGGAACACCAGUGGCGAAGGCGACCACCUGGACUGAACUGACACUGAGGUGC